GAAAUGUUAGCAGCUCAGCGCUAGCAGUUGCCGAUGAUACUGUAUCAUCUAGGAUUUCGGUAUGCUUGUGGGAGGAAUUGUGUGAGUGUAGCGGGUGAAAUGCUUAGAUAUCACCCAGAAUCAUCUGAUUGCGAAGGGCAGCUCACAAAACCAUGAUUGACGCUGAGGCACGCAACGUGUUGAGGAUCAGAACAGGAUUAGAUACCCCUGGUAGUGGACACAGUAAACGAUGAUAACUCAGCUGGCAGGCGAUACACAGUCUGUAGUCGAAGCGAAAGCGAUAAGUUAUCCACCUGGGGAGUACGACCGCAAGGUUGAAACUCAAAGGAAUUGACGGGGGCCCGCACAAGCGGAGGAACAUGUGGUUUAAUUCGAUGAUACGCGAGGAACCUUACCCGGGCUCGAACGGUUCAUGAAUAUACCGAGAGAUUGUACAGUCCUUCGGGACAUGUAUCGAGGUGCUGCAUGGUUGUCGUCAGCUCGUGCCGUGAGGUGUCGGCUUAAGUGCCAUAACGAGCGCAACCCUUGUCAUUAGUUACCAUCAGGUCAAGCUGGGGACUCUAUUGAGACUGCCACCGUAAGGUGUGAGGAAGGGGGGGAUGACGUCAAAUCAGCACGGCCCUUAUGUCCGGGGCGACACACGUGUUACAAUGGGAGGUACAGAGGGCAGCCAUCCGGCGACGGAGCGCUAAUCUCAAAAACCUUUCUCAGUUCGGAUUGGAGUCUGCAACUCGACUCCAUGAAGUUGGAUUCGCUAGUAAUCGCGCAUCAGCCAUGGCGCGGUGAAUACGUUCCCGGGCCUUGUACACACCGCCCGUCAAGCCAUGGAAGCUUGGGGUGCCUGAAGUUCGUGACCGCAAGGAGCGACCUAG
rnacentral:rRNA from 1 species